AGUGGCGCCAUCUUGGCUCACGGCAACAUCCGCCUCCUGGGUUCAGCAAUUCUCCUGCCUCGGCCUCCCGAGUAGCUGGGACUAUAGCAAAGCAUCUGGCACAGGCCAGCUGGCCAAGGGAGUAAUUCUGAUUGGGUAUCAGGGAUGUCCUAUGAAAGAUGACACUUAAGUGAGACCUGAAUGAUGAGAAUGAGCCAGCUAUCUGGGGCAAAGCACCACAAGGAGAAUGAACAGCCAGAGCAAAGGCCCUAAGGGAGAAAGUAGCAGCACGCAGGCCAGUGUGGCUGGAGCAGUGUGAGAGCACAGAGGAAAAGUCACGUGAGGACGCAGCAAGAAGGUGGCUGUCACAAGCAGGAAGAGGGCCCUCAGCAGGAACCAAAUCAGCAGAGACCUCGAUCUUAGACCUCUCAGACUCCAGGACUGUGAGAAAUCAAUUUCUGUUGUUUGGGCCACCUGGUCUGUGAUAUUUUGUUAUGGCAGCCCAAGCAGACUAAUACAGUGGCCAAAAUCUUGUCCAAGAAGAAUGAAUGAAUCUCAUGAAAACACUGAAUGCAUCUUACUUAAUGCUUCUGCUUUGGGAGAAAAAAUGCCUCUCGAGCUCAGGGAGAACAAAACAGACUAAUUAAACAAGGAGAAUAGUAAAGGAAAUUGCUUUUUAAGCAAGGUUAUAUAUUGGUUCAUUGCUCAUUUCUAAUUGCACCAGAGGGAAACUAGAUAAUAGUAGUCACUAAAUUCCAGAAGACUUGGCCCAAAUUUCCUUCAUCUAAUUCAAAGGCUCGAUUCAGCAAGGGGCAGAUGAUGCGACUGUCCCAAUUGAAUGAGACAGUGACCACACAAUGUGCUGCUCUUGACACAGCAUGCUGAACAGAGGAGGAAAGAUCUUGGGGAAGGUCACGUUUUUAUUUAUGUGCUUGUGCUGCCUAUGGAUUUCUAAAUAGAUGUUACAAGUGAUUAUGUCAAAACGUGGUACCUGUUAAGAGAUUUAAAUUUUCUAUUUUGCUAAUUCAGCAAAUAUUCACUGAGCACCUACGAAUGCUAGAGCCUACUCUGGAAGCUUGGGAUACAGCAGUGAAUAUGGUAGGUGGGGUAUGGCAGUGAAUAUAGCAGGUGGGGUAUGGCAGUGAAUAUGACAGGUGGGGUACAGCAGUGAAUAUGACAGGUGAAACACAGCAGUGAAUAUGGCAGGUGGGAUAUGGCAGUGAUUAUGGCAGGUGGGAUUCAGCAGUGAAUAUGAGAACUGAAACAUAGCAGUGAAUAUGGCAGGUGGGAUACGGCAGUGAAUAUGACAGGUGGGAUACAAAAGUGAUUAUGGCAUGUGGGAUUCAGCAGUGAUCAUGGCAGGUGGGAUACAGCAGUGAUUAUGGCAGGUGGGAUAUGGCAGUGAAUAUGGCAGGUGGGAUACGGCAGUGAAUAUGGCAGGUGGGACAUGGCAGUGAAUAUGACAGGUGGGAUAUGGCAGUGAAUAUGGCAGGUGGGAUUUGGAAGUGAAUAUGACAGGUGGGAUAUGGCAGUGAAUAUGGCAGGUGGGAUUUGGAAGUGAAUAUGACAGGUGAAACAUGGCAGUGAUUACGGCAGGUGGGAUUUGGAAGUGAAUAUGACAGGUAGAAUAUGGCAGUGACUAUGGCAAGUGGGAUUCAGCAGUGAAUAUGACAGGUGGGAUAUGGGCAGUGAUUAUGGCAGGUGGGAUAUGGCAGUGAAUAUGACAGGUGGAAUAUGGCAGUGAUUAUGGCAAGUGGGAUUCAGCAGUGAAUAUGACAGGUGGGAUACAGCAGUGAUUAUGGCAGGUGGGAUUUGCCAGUGAAUAUGGCAGGUGGGAUAUGGGCAGUGAUUAUGGCAGGUGGGAUAUGGCAGUGAAUAUGGCAGGUGGGAAUAUGGGCAGUGAUUAUGGCAGGUGGGAUACGGCAGUGAAUAUGACAGGUGAAACACGGCAGUGAAUAUGACAGGUGGGAUAUGGCAGUGAAUACGGCAGGUGGGAUAUGGGCAGUGAUUAUGGCAGGUAGGAUACGGCAGUGAAUAUGACAGGUGGGAUAUGGCAGUGAAUACGGCAGGUGGGAUAUGGCAGUUAAUAUGACAUGUGGAAUAUGGCAGUGAUUAUGGCAAGUGGGAUUCGGCAGUGAAUAUGACAAGUGGGAUACAGCAGUAAUUAUGGCAGGUGGGAUUUGGCAGUGAAUAUGACAGGUGAAACACGGCAGUGAAUAUGACAGGUGGGAUACAGCAGUGAUUAUGGCAGGUGGGAUUUGGCAAUGAAUAUGGCAGGUGGGAUAUGGGCAGUGAUUAUGGCAGGUGGGAUACCGCAAUGAAUGUGGCAGGUGGGAUACGGCAGUGAUUAUGACAGGUGGGAUUCGGCAGUGAAUAUGACAGGUGGGAUACGGGCAGUGAUUAUGACAUGUGGGAUACAGCAGUAAAUAUGACAGGUGGGAUACAGCAGUGAUUAUGACAGGUGGGAUACAGCAGUGAUUAUGACAGGUGGGAUACGGCAGUGAUUAUGGCAG